rnacentral:rRNA from 1 species
AGAGUUUGAUCCUGGCUCAGAGCGAACGCUGGCGGCAGGCCUAACACAUGCAAGUCGAACGGACCCUUCGGGGUUAGUGGCGGACGGGUGAGUAACACGUGGGAACGUGCCCUUUGGUUCGGAACAACACAGGGAAACUUGUGCUAAUACCGGAUAAGCCCUUCGGGGGAAAGAUUUAUUGCCAUUGGAGCGGCCCGCGUUGGAUUAGGUAGUUGGUGAGGUAAAGGCUCACCAAGCCUGCGAUCCAUAGCUGGUCUGAGAGGAUGAUCAGCCACAUUGGGACUGAGACACGGUCCAAACUCCUACGGGAGGCAGCAGUGGGGAAUCUUGCGCAAUGGGCGAAAGCCUGACGCAGCCAUGCCGCGUGAAUGAUGAAGGUCUUAGGAUUGUAAAAUUCUUUCAGCGGGGACGAUAAUGACGGGACCCGGAGUAAGAAGCCCCGGCUAACUUCGUGCCAACAGUCGCGGAAAUACUAAGGGGGCUAGCGAUGCUCGGAAUUACUGGGCGUAAAGGGAGC